GUUUUUGCCAUUGUGACUCUCACUGGAUC
rnacentral:piRNA from 1 species